rnacentral:rRNA from 1 species
CCUACGGGGGGCUGCAGUCGAGAAUCUUGCACAAUGUACGAAAGUAUGAUGCAGCGACGCCGCGUGAAGGAUGAAGGCCCUCUGGGUCGUAAACUUCUUUUAUGUGGGAAGAAUAAAUGACGGUACCACAUGAAUAAGCCACGGCUAACUACGUGCCAGCAGCCGCGGUAAUACGUAGGUGGCAAGCGUUGUCCGGAUUUACUGGGCGUAAAGCGUAUGUAGGCGGAAGCUUAAGUAGGAAGUGAAAGGUUGGUGCUCAACACUAACACUGCUCC